AUUGUCUGUUUGUGUAUAUAUAAGACGACAUGAAUGAUGAUUCAUUUUUUUUGGAGAAACCUAUUUUCUGCAAACAUUGCUCAAAGUUUUUGGAGUUUCCAGAUUUUCGCAACAUGUUUGAUAGAUGUCGCAUUCCGGAAAAGACAGCAGUGUGGUACGCGUAAGAUCAUGUUAUUUAUUACUAUUUCUCAAGCAUGUUGUAAAUUCAAAAAAUGUGACGUUUUACGGAUUUACUGUUUCUUCUUGUGGAACUAUUGUAUUUCUAAGCUACUUACUCCGAGAGGCAAUAAGAUUACGAGAAAAAGAGAGAUAAAAGAAGAUUCAUUCAGGGAGAUUUUAGGAGUAGAACGAAAGAUGCAGUGUUUAUACUUUUUAAACAUCAUGUGAAGCUUGGAUGCACAUGAAAUAUUUAACACAAAAGGAUGUAAAGUUAGAAAGAAUGAAGAACAUGCUUUCUAUUUCCCCCUUGUGCACUUUAGAAAAUGACUAAAGUUGUGUCUAACUUUAACUUCUAGAGAGCAACAUAUAUGUUUGCAUGUAUCAUUCUCAUGGAAUGAAAGCUUUUAUUGAUGCUU